GUGAGAUUCUGAUGCAGCGUUAUUUUUCAUUUCCUGUCAUUUCAGAGAAGAAAAUGAGGCAGAAACACGGACAAAGGCUCAAAUUAGUCAACGAGAAUGUGUGAACACGCUACAGACACAGACAAAAGUCAACUGAAGACAGCUGACUGUGGUCCAGAACAAAGACGCGACAUCGGCGACAAAUAGGUUUGCUUCCAGACUAAUAAUGAAAGAAACUUUUUUUUUUGGACUGAGACAAGACUAUAUGAUUUGAAGUAACUACUCACACAUCCAGGCUGUCUCAUGAAGAAAUGUAAAAGAGCUAAAAAAAAAAAAACCUUCUGGAACCACAAAGUCUGGAUUUGUGAACAUCUUCAGAACAGCAUUGAAAACUGAUCAUUAUUUAACUGCAGAAAACAGGGGGGAAAAAAUCGUACUUUUAUAAACUGCUGAGGGAAGGGAGGCAUGUUUUUAUAUCAAAUGUUCUUAUACGUUAGAAAUUGUGUGGCAUUUGACCAAACUUGUCGUCGUUUGACUACACAGAUUCAGAAACAGUAAAACAACACUGCAUUUCUCACUGCAGGGACCAGACAUUUAUAUUUCAUGCUAAACUCCUGAGCGGCUGAAUAAUUGAAGUGGAAUCCAAUGCUGAUGGACUCCUCUCCGUUUAGUGAGGAAGACAGAUCAAAACCCCGGGGGGAAACACACGUGUGAUGCUCACCAGGCAUGCAAAGAGCCCGGCUCUGAGCUCGUCUUUGGCUGAGCACACCUGGGGUACGGGCGCACCUGCAGCCUCCGCUGCCAGGACGACAUCCUCCUUGACCUCAAUAUGCUGUCCUGAAGAAGCCUUCAGUGAACCGGGAGAAUCUAGGAUACAGUGAUAAUGAUAAGUGUUCAGGUGUCACACCUGCAGCUUUUCUGACGGUGACUCGCACUGAGGUGGUCUGUGGUGUACGCCCCCACGGAGCUGAGGCCAGGGUAGCAGCUGUCCCUAUCAGACUCUCCUCAGCGCUGUCACAACCUGUCUGCUCUCACAGCUAAUCACGUCCUACAGGCCUGCAGCGUGGGACCACCGCUGCUAAUGUCUGCACCGAAUGGGCUGGGAUAGACUCGCAGAGUGGGCAUGAUGUCACUCAUAACAGUGUACUUCAUGCUGACACAGCUGUCUCUGCUAAAGUAGUUCCACUGCUUUCCCAGGAGCAGAGAAUAUUUAACUGAAAGCCCACUGAACAUUAAGGGCUUUGGCAGCUGGAGCAGAGCAGGGCACUGAGGGACAGACGAGACACUCCUGCAGCCAGAAUAAGGAGAAACCUCCAGGACACCAUUGUGUCGCGGAAAGUCGAACGCCUCAGCUUGUCUUCUGGCAAAAACCAGCAAAGCUGUCAUUGCACUCGCUAAUGCUGACUGCAGGUGUCUCUCUGUAUGCACCGUGCACUGUGUCCCCCGGUGAAGGAGUCAGGACUGAGGCACCAUCACGGCAAAAACAACCAGCCAAUGACUGCAGGUCUUACAACCAGAAAACGAGGAAGAUCGUUUCAGGUUCGAGAUCUUGCCCUCCACUGCAGUGAGACUUGCUAAUGCUCUAUGGUUUGGACUCAGUGGCCCUAUCUGAAACACAGAAGAAUGAACUGCUGUAGACAAAAUCAAUUGUGCUACAUUGGGGCAUGUCGGAGAUGAAGCCACCAAGAAGAGCCAGGUGCUGGUCAUCAGCUGACCCACGACUCACAACUUCAAAGCCUGCUUUGAACUGUUACUGAUUGAAUUGAGACCCCUCAUCGAGGAGCCCAGUGUUCAAAGGGAAGUGGAGGAAGGUCGACUGGACCACCACUCAAAUGUACCCGCAAUGUUUUUAGCAUGCAGGUAGGGGUAUAUAUAUAUAACACCUCGAAUACAGGAUCAGGAUCAGAGAAGAACCAGCCAAGCAUCGGCCCCCGGACAUGACAGCAGGUCUCUGAGGCCACAUGGCAUGAAAGAAGAAUGCCUUCGCUUUGUGUGCUCUCAGAGAAACACAGGAGACUGGCCCAAGAAAAGAAGAACGCCUCUGUGAGGAGCAGCACCUGAAUAUACUGAAUAUACUGAAAGAACGAGGAGAGGACAAGAAACACCUGGGUGAGGUUGACAUAUCUGUGGUUGCUCAGCUUUUCAUUGACAUAUACUGUAUAUACAUAUAUGUAUGUAUUUAUAUAUGUAUGUAUAUAAAGCCAUCAGUAGUCUGUCCAGAGCAGGGGUGCCAAACAUACGGCCCAUGGGCCAAAACCGGUCCACUAGGGUGUUCAGUCCGGCCCGCUAAAAGAUACACAAACUUUUAGUAUAUUUUUUGCAAAAUGAUAUUCAAAAGUAUCUCAUAUACUUAUACUUUUAAACAUGAAAACUAAGGGGAAAAAACAUGGACUUGCUAUUUAUAGUUAAUGAUGUUAUGAUUGUACUGGUCCAGCCCACUUGACAUCUAAUUAGGUUGUAUUGACCCAUAAACCAAAAUGAGUUUGGUUGGUCUGGUCUAAAACCUUGUUCCUUCAGCAGCUUCAAGGGUAACCAGAGCUGCUCCAGCCUCAUCUUGUUCCUCAGCCGAUUAUUCUAUUAUAUUGAGGCAAACUUAUCAAUGUUCUUCAUGAAUCUUCUCAUUGGGUUUUUUUAUUGGCUGGUAGAGUCAUCUUUAAAUUUCAACAAACAUCAGCUGUCUGUCUGAAAUGUCAAUGUCAAUCCUAUGAUUGCUCAUCAUUUCUAAGAAAAAAAAGUAAAAAAAACACUUUUUUUUUUAUUCUUUUAAACAUAUUUGAUUUCUAUGCAGGUCUUCCAAACUUUAACUUUUUUUAAUAAUUAGAAGAGUCUCUCUUGUGCUUAGUUUAACUCUGGCAUGUCUGCUCUGAUUGUGUAUAGAAUUGAAUUGAUCGUUGUAGGUUACUGGCACAUACACAAUUUAAAAAAAAACAAAACUCUGCACAAUAUCCCUGGGUGAUAUACGUCUUCACAACCUACCUGUGUCAACUUACAUUGUUUUCUUAGAAGAGGAAGCGGAGGAAGAUAAUAAAGAAACGGCAUAACACUUCUAGUUCUGAAGGUCCUUGUUUCUUUUCUCAAAGAUUUGCAGGCUUAAUAAAAGUCACUCAAGAAUUUUUCACUUUACACUGUAUUCACUGGUAGAGAUAUACAGUGACCUACAUUUCUCUGAUAAUGUGUAUAUCCACGUUAAUAUGCAGAGACUAGAUUUGUAUCACCUCUGGAGAAGAAAACUGAAUUAUUUUACAGACCACCCUGUAGCGUUUCUGUCACGGUAGAAUAUGGCAGUUAUGUACUGUACCUUAUUACAUUCUGAGGAUUUUUUGGUUCAGAGAGAAUUUUUUCUGUUAGUGGAUCCUGUGGUCACAUAAAACCGUCCACAGAUACAGGGUCUCUAAUAGUGCUAGAUCAGUGGUUCUCUAACUGUUUGAUGACCAACAUUAGAAUAUAGCAGCAUAGGCCUUCACUAUUAGCUUCCACCACACAGGGGCGAUGUUUAUAAAGGUGUUUAUGCUUAAAUUUUCUAUUAAUUGUGCAUGGUAUGUUUCAGAUUUAUUCAAUUGAAAAUGUAAAUGUGGAAAUUGGAAUUUUCCCCACGUACCACCGGUGGUACGCCUACCACAGUUUGAGAACCACUGUACUAGAUCAUUUGAGCAUAUAGCAUA